rnacentral:rRNA from 1 species
UACGUAGGGGGCAAGCGUUGUCCGGAUUUAUUGGGCGUAAAGAGCGUGUAGGCGGUUUGGUGGGUCCGCUGUGAAAACUCGAGGCUCAACCUCGAGACGCCGGUGGAAACCAUCAGACUAGAGUCCGGUAGGGGAGCGUGGAAUUCCUGGUGUAGCGGUGAAAUGCGCAGAUAUCAGGAGGAACACCAGCGGCGAAGGCGGCGCUCUGGGCCGGUACUGACACUGAGGAGCGAAAGCGUGGGUAGCAAACAGG